GUAGGUGGGCAAGCGUUGUCCGGAAUUAUUGGACGUAAAGCGCGCGCAGGGCGGUCCUUUAAGUCUGAUGUGAAAGCCCACGGCUCAACCGUGGAGGGUCAUUGGAAACUGGGGGACUUGAGUACAGAAGAGGAAAGCGGAAUUCCAAGUGUAGCGGUGAAAUGCGUAGAGAUUUGGAGGAACACCAGUGGCGAAGGCGGCUUUCUGGUCUGUAACUGACGCUGAGGCGCGAAAGCGUGGGGAGCAAACAGGAUUAGAUACCCUGGUAGUCCACGCCGUAAACGAUGAGUGCUAAGUGUUAGGGGGUUUCCGCCCCUUAGUGCUGCAGCUAACGCAUUAAGCACUCCGCCUGGGGAGUACGGCCGCAAGGCUG
rnacentral:rRNA from 1 species